rnacentral:rRNA from 1 species
CCUACGGGUGGCUGCAGUGGGGAAUAUUGCACAAUGGGCGCAAGCCUGAUGCAGCCAUGCCGCGUGUGUGAAGAAGGCCUUCGGGUUGUAAAGCACUUUCAGCGGGGAGGAAGGCGUUAAGGUUAAUAACCUUGGCGAUUGACGUUACCCGCAGAAGAAGCACCGGCUAACUCCGUGCCAGCAGCCGCGGUAAUACGGAGGGUGCAAGCGUUAAUCGGAAUUACUGGGCGUAAAGCGCACGCAGGCGGUCUGUCAAGUCGGAUGUGAAAUCCCCGGGCUCAACCUGGGAACUGCAUUCGAAACUGGCAGGCUAGAGUCUUGUAGAGGGGGGUAGAACUCCAGGUGUAGCGGUGAAAUGCGUAGAGAUCUGGAGGAAUACCGGUGGCGAAGGCGGCCCCCUGGACAAAGACUGACGCUCAGGUGCGAAAGCGUGGGGAGCAAACAGGAUUAGAUACCCCUGUAGUC